rnacentral:rRNA from 1 species
GAGUGAGCGAGGGACGGUCGGGCUGAGGUAGGAGUGAUAUUUGGGGGUUCCAUUUCUAUAUGUUAGUAAAGCGGUGAAAUGCGAUAAUUUUAGGUUGGGGUAUGAGUCUUUUCGGUGAUUUGAUUCCUUUAAGAUCGGGGUGUGGACCAGGAUUAGAUACCCUGCUAUCCCUUUAGUAAUUUUUAGGUGCCUGGAGUAGUAAACAGAUAUGGGCUCGAAACUUAAAGAAUUUGGCGGUAUUUAAGUCUGGUUAGAGGAACCUGUGCUGUAAACGAUAAACCACGAAUAUCUUACUUUGUUUUGGGAGUGCAGUACGUAUACCGCCAUUGUUAUCGAUAAUCUUUGAAGGGGUUUAUUGAGGUAGAUUUUGAAUCUAGUAAAUUAGGUCAAGGUGCGGCUUAUAGCAAAGGAGACAUGGGUUACAUUGAUAUUAGUGAGUUCGGAUGAGUCCGGUAAGUCGGAUUUUGUAAGGUGGAUUUAAUAGUAAAGUUGGUUGAUUAUGCAUUCUUGAUAUAAGCUCUUAGAUAUGCACACAUCGCCCGUCGUUCUCGCUUU